rnacentral:rRNA from 1 species
GACGGAGGAUGCAAGUGUUAUUCGGAAUCACUGGGCGUAAAGCGUCUGUAGGUGGUUUAAUAAGUCAACUGUUAAAUCUUGAGGCUCAACCUCAAAAUCGCAGUCGAAACUAUUAGGCUAGAGUAUAGUAGGGGUAAAGGGAAUUUCCAGUGGAGCGGUGAAAUGCGUAGAGAUUGGAAAGAACACCGAUGGCGAAGGCACUUUACUGGGCUAUUACUAACACUCAGAGACGAAAGCUAGGGUAGCAAAUGGG